rnacentral:ncRNA from 1 species
GUUCGGGUAUUCCGGAAGAGGCUAAGAGGGAAACAGGUUAGAUUCCUGUGCGGUCCCGCCACUGUAAUGGAGGAGUUCCGCCGUAUACGCCACUGGCUUUUGCUGGGAAGGCAGACGGAGCGUCGAUUCCUGAGCCAGGAGACCUGCAUAAAAUU